UACGUAGGGUGCAAGCGUUGUCCGGAAUUAUUGGGCGUAAAGAGCUCGUAGGCGGUCUGUCACGUCGGCUGUGAAAACCCGAGGCUCAACCUCGGGCCUGCAGUCGAUACGGGCAAACUAGAGUACUGCAGGGGAGACUGGAAUUCCUGGUGUAGCGGUGAAAUGCGCAGAUAUCAGGAGGAACACCGGUGGCGAAGGCGGGUCUCUGGGCAGUAACUGACGCUGGAGGAGCGAAAGCGUGGGGAGCGAACAGG
rnacentral:rRNA from 1 species